AAUCCCUUAUCGAUUAACAAUUAGAGGGCAAGUCUGGUGCCAGCAGCCGCGGUAAUUCCAGCUCUAAUAGCGUAUAUUAAAGUUGUUGCAGUUAAAAAGCUCGUAGUUGGAUUUCGGCGUGCGCUCGGGCUGGUCGGCCGUCAUGGUCUGUACCGUUCGGGUCACGCCCCACUGUAGGAUACUCACCGCUGUCCUUAACUGGGUGGCGGUCAAAGGGGGUAGGCAUGGGGGCAACUCUGUGCUUAUCUCUGGGGUUCCUACUCUUUUACUUUGAGCAAAUUAGAGUGUUCAAAGCAGGCAAUCGAGCCUUGAAUACUUCAGCAUGAGAUAAUGGAACAGGACUGGGGUCCUGAUUUCGUUGGUUUCUGGGAUCUCAGUAAUGAUUAAUAGGGAUAGUUGGGGGCAUUAGUAUUUAAUUGUCAGAGGUGAAAUUCUUGGAUUUAUGAAAGACUAACUUCUGCGAAAGCAUUUGCCAAGGAUGUUUUCAUUAAUCAAGAACGAAAGUUAGGGGAUCGAAGACGAUCAGAUACCGUCGUAGUCUUAACCAUAAACGAUGCCGACCAGCGAUUGGGAGACGUUACAUGGAUGACUCCCCCAGCAGCUUGCGAGAAAUCACAAGUCUUUGGGUUCCGGGGGGAGUAUGGUCGCAAGGCUGAAACUUAAAGGAAUUGACGGAAGGGCACCACCAGGAGUGGAGCCUGCGGCUUAAUUUGACUCAACACGGGGAAACUUACCAGGUCCAGACAUAGUAAGGAUUGACAGAUUUGAGAGCUCUUUCUUGAUUCUAUGGGUGGUGGUGCAUGGCCGUUCUUAGUUGGUGGAGUGAUUUGUCUGGUUAAUUCCGUUAACGAACGAGACCUUAACCUGCUAAAUAUGUCACCGGAAGACUUCUGCCAAAACAGGCGGGCGUUUAGGGCGAAGUUUCGAUGGAGUCCGACGCGUUCGUCUGUGGAUGACUACCGGGAUGUACUUCUUAGAGGGACUAUCUGUAUCAAAGCAGAUGGAAGUUUGAGGCAAUAACAGGUCUGUGAUGCCCUUAGAUGUUCUGGGCCGCACGCGCGCUACACUGAUAAGUUCAACGAGUUUAACACCUUGCUCGAUAGGGCUGGGUAAUCUUUGAAAAACUUAUCGUGAUGGGGAUAGAUCAUUGUAAUUAUUGGUCUUCAACGAGGAAUUCCUAGUAAGCGUGAGUCAUCAGCUCGCGUUGAUUACGUCCCUGCCCUUUGUACACACCGCCCGUCGCUCCUACCGAUUGAAUGAUGAGGUGAAAUGUUGGGAGCUGGGGUCUUUCGACGGCGGGGCAACUCGUCGCCAGAGGCUCUGCAAACUUCAUUAAACCUUUUCAUUUAGA
rnacentral:rRNA from 1 species